CUUCCGGUCUAUAGUAGUGUGUGGACAGAUGGCUUGUGCUCCUCUGCAUUUGACUUUUUGGGUGAAUAUUAUUUUUAAAAAUCCUAUAGUGAUGUGUUCUGUAUUAAAUCUAUUCCCUACCACAGGCAGACAGUCUUCUGGGUGUCCCCAGGGCCCCUGUGAGGACUUAGCCAGGGGGUGACCCGGGGGUCGGUGCUAGACACACGCUGAGCCACGCCAGAGCCUUCCGAGGGAGAGGGGCAGGCGCCGGGGAGAGACAGAAGCUGGGGAGGAGGAGAGCCAGGCCUGGGCGGGCGCGCUGGUCUCCUCUGAGGGCCGCGUUUCUCGUUGCCCUUGCCAUCCUGGCUCGGGACCCCCAAAUGUAUGGAGGACCUGCCCCCUGGCCCGGCUGGGUGGAAGUUGGGGAAUCUCUGCUCUUCCUUUCCCUGCACUUGCAGGCAGGCCCGGGUGUCUCAGAGCUGUGGUGCCGGAAGUGUGACCAGGUGCCCGGGGAGGUGACUGCUUGCCCAGGACAGCACCCCCGCCCUUGUCAAGCUCCUUGAUUAUUUUUUCCUGUUGGCUUGGCCUCUGGGGACAGCCUCCCGCCCAGGAUGUGAGGCAGGCAGCAGCUUGCUGGCCCAGCCUGGCCCUGAGGUGGGGGGUCCUGGCUGCGACCUGGGAGAGAUGCCCCCUUCCCUGGCAUGCUGAGAGCAGCCGGCUCAUUCCUGCAGCCCAGAGUCCUUCUUGAGGGAGGAGGCCAUGGUGUCCACCCCAUCAACCUCCGGACGGCCAGACAGGUUUGGCCACAGACGGGAACGGCAUCUUCUCUAUCGAGGCAGGGUUGUAUUUUGAAGGAGGUCUCUGGACAGUUGGCAGGACAGGCUGCUGAGAACCCGAGGUCACCGCGGCCCCCGGCCCUGGAAGAUGGAGUAGCCUCGGACUGUGUGACUCUCGGGCCUCAGAGAGGCAGCUCUGGGCUGGGCAGAGGUGAUGCUUGCUGCUUUUCCAGCCGCCCCCGGGUACAAUUCCUCCUGUAAUUUCACUUCCUGAGCCUCUUGGCGCACUUCCUAGUUGUGUAAUAUUGAGCAAGUUCUUGAAAUCCUCUAAGACUCAGUUUUCUCAUCGCUAAAAUGGGAACCGUAGCUGGCCCUGGUGACAUGUGCGGGAGUCCCAGCCCUUGGGAAGCUGACACUCGCUUUAGCCCAGAAGUUCGAGACCAGCCUGGGCAGCACAGUGGCUCAAAACAAAAGAUUAAAAGGGCAGAGAUGUAGCUCAGUAGCAGAGCACUUGACCUUGGUUCUAACCCUUGUACUACAAAACUAACUAACUAAAUAAAUUGGGACAAUAAGAGGAAC
rnacentral:lncRNA from 1 species